GAUGAACGCUGGCGGCGUGCCUAAUACAUGCAAGUCGAGCGAACGGACGAGAAGCUUGCUUCUCUGAUGUUAGCGGCGGACGGGUGAGUAACACGUGGAUAACCUACCUAUAAGACUGGGAUAACUUCGGGAAACCGGAGCUAAUACCGGAUGAUAUUUUGAACCGCAUGGUUCAAAAGUGAAAGACGGUCUUGCUGUCACUUAUAGAUGGAUCCGCGCUGCAUUAGCUAGUUGGUAAGGUAACGGCUUACCAAGGCAACAAUGCAUAGCCGACCUGAGAGGGUGAUCGGCCACACUGGAACUGAGACACGGUCCAGACUCCUACGGGAGGCAGCAGUAGGGAAUCUUCCGCAAUGGGCGAAAGCCUGACGGAGCAACGCCGCGUGAGUGCUGAAGGUCUUCGGAUCGUAAAACUCUGUUAUUAGGGAAGAACAUAUGUGUAAGUAACUGUGCACAUCUUGACGGUACCUAAUCAGAAAGCCACGGCUAACUACGUG
rnacentral:rRNA from 1 species